ACCACUGUAGUCUCACUAGUUUUUUCAUCAUAGGUUCUUAAUUGAUUUACUAUUUUCUUUAGUUUGGAAUAGUAAUCUUUUACGAUCUCAGUAUCUUUCAUUUUUUAAUUUUCUAGAUCUCUCCCCAUAGUUUGUAGUUUGAUGGAACGUACCUUUAAAGUUAUAUAAAACUCCUCCUUUAGUAAAUCUUAAGCUUCCUUUAUGUAGUAGCUUCCAUGAUUUUUGAAAAGUUUGCAUCAUCCACCGCUUGUUGAAUGGCCAAAACUGCAUUUGCAUAUCUUUGUUUAUCUUUUUUUCUUGUCGUAGUUGCUCCAUUCAAAAAUGCUGACUUAAUUCUGGAUGAUGAAAUCAGACAUUGGGUAAGAGAACUUGCAACUUUUCAAGGCGCGAGUCCUCGAAACACAAUCAAUGGCAAAACCUAGUUAAUUUGCUAGUAUGUGUAUCUAGACUGCACAUCUCUCUAUAGAAGGCUCGAAGUUGUCACUUGUGCUAGCAUUAGGUCCCAAAUGUGCUCAAAUGUGCCGAUGUCACCCCCUUUCAUCUCUUGCCGAAACCUUUUCCUUUGAUGCCUUGGUCUCUAAGUUCAAACGGCACGAAGAUUGAUUCUCGAAUUUUAUGGUCUAUUCCAAUGCAAAACAAUUGUCGAUGUCAUUGAGGACGAUGGUGUCAAUGGAAAGAAAUCAUGUGAAAGAGGGAAAACAAAAUGUAUGAUUCUAUUGGGUUUUAUAUUUUAAAAUUGUAUAUUGAAAUAAGCGGGUGUUUUGUAUAGUAACUGUCUCAAAGUCACAUUCCACAUAUUGCACGCAACUAGACUAAAAAGUCAUUUUCGUUACUCAGAAAAGAAAAUCGAGAAGUAUCAAUACACGAUUUCGUUAUUCAAAAUGUAUGAUUCAGCUGGGUUUAAUAUUUUAAAGUGUAUACUCAAAUAUGUGACUGUUUUAUGUCACGCCAAUCUCAAAGUCACAUUCCACGUAUUGCAGAUAGACUAAAAACUCAUUUUCAUUACUCAAAAAAGGAAAUCGGGAAAUCGACACAUGUCUAUUUUUACAUAUAGUAAUUGACAUAAUUUAACCUAUGAAAAAAAAGAGUAUAUUUUUACUGCAGCGCGUGGAGUAAAUCCCUGUUUUCUUAUACUAGAGAAAGAUCACCGAGAAAGCCCAAAAGGGGGAUCAAAAAACUCGUCAUAGAGGCUGUUGGAAUUUGCUCGUGUUCGCUUUUUCGGUGCGAAUUUCAAUUUCCGGUACCCAUUUUUGGGAUUCAAUUGAAUUGGGAUUAUUAGUCCUAUAGAUGUCUGAAUCACAAGGAGACGAACACGAUUCCACAAGCUUCAGGGCUUCAUCCGUCUCAGAUGUAGAGAUUAGCUGCGGUGUAUAUAUCACCUAACCUCCACCACUUCCCUCCACUAUCGUUGUGUAUUCCUUCACCAGCAUUGCAGAGCAACUUCUUUAAACACUAAUCUGUUCAUCGUCUGUUGAAAGUUCAUCAGAG